rnacentral:rRNA from 1 species
UUAGAUUAAGUUAUUAAGGGCGCACGGUGGAUGCCUUGGCACUAGAAGCCGAUGAAGGACGUUACUAACGACGAUAUGCUUUGGGGAGCUGUAAGUAAGCUUUGAUCCAGAGAUUUCCGAAUGGGGAAACCCAGCACGAGUUAUGUCGUGUUAUCUGCAUGUGAAUACAUAGCAUGCAAGAAGGCAGACCCGGAGAACUGAAACAUCUUAGUACCCGGAGGAAGAGAAAGAAAAAUCGAUUCCCUGAGUAGCGGCGAGCGAAACGGGAAGAGCCCAAACCAAUAAGCUUGCUUAUUGGGGUUGUAGGACACUCUGUACGGAGUUACAAAAGAAUUUGUUAGACGAAUAACCUGGAAAGGUUAAUCAUAGAAGGUAAUAAUCCUGUAGUCGAAAACGAAUUCUCUCUUGAGUGGAUCCUGAGUACGACGGAGCACGUGAAAUUCCGUCGGAAUCUGGGAGGACCAUCUCCUAAGGCUAAAUACUCUCUAGUGACCGAUAGUGAACCAGUACCGUGAGGGAAAGGUGAAAAGUACCCCGGAAGGGGAGUGAAAGAGAACUUGAAACCGUGUGCUUACAAGUAGUCAGAGCCCGUUAAUGGGUGAUGGCGUGCCUUUUGUAGAAUGAACCGGCGAGUUACGAUCUGAUGCAAGGUUAAGCAGAAAAUGUGGAGCCGUAGCGAAAGCGAGUCUGAAUAGGGCGAAUGAGUAUUUGGUCGUAGACCCGAAACCAGGUGAUCUACCCUUGGUCAGGUUGAAGUUCAGGUAACACUGAAUGGAGGACCGAACCGACUUACGUUGAAAAGUGAGCGGAUGAACUGAGGGUAGCGGAGAAAUUCCAAUCGAACUUGGAGAUAGCUGGUUCUCUCCGAAAUAGCUUUAGGGCUAGCCUCAAGUGAUGAUUAUUGGAGGUAGAGCACUGUUUGGACGAGGGGCCCCUCUCGGGUUACCGAAUUCAGACAAACUCCGAAUGCCAAAUAAUUUAACUUGGGAGUCAGAAUGUGGGUGAUAAGGUCCAUAUUCGAAAGGGAAACAGCCCAGACCACCAGCUAAGGUCCCAAAAUAUAUGUUAAGUGGAAAAGGAUGUGGCGUUGCCCAGACAACUAGGAUGUUGGCUUAGAAGCAGCCAUCAUUUAAAGAGUGCGUAAUAGCUCACUAGUCGAGUGACACUGCGCCGAAAAUGUACCGGGGCUAAACAUAUUACCGAAGCUGUGGAUUGUCCUUUGGACAAUGGUAGGAGAGCGUUCUAAGGGCGUUGAAGCAUGAUCGCAAGGACAUGUGGAGCGCUUAGAAGUGAGAAUGCCGGUGUGAGUAGCGAAAGACGGGUGAGAAUCCCGUCCACCGAUUGACUAAGGUUUCCAGAGGAAGGCUCGUCCGCUCUGGGUUAGUCGGGUCCUAAGCUGAGGCCGACAGGCGUAGGCGAUGGAUAACAGGUUGAUAUUCCUGUACCACCAUUAUUCGUUUUAAGCGAUGGGGGGACGCAGUAGGAUAGGCGAAGCGUGCUGUUGGAGUGCACGUCCAAGCAGUGAGAUUGAGUGUUAGGCAAAUCCGGCACUCUUAAGAUUGAGCUGUGAUGGGGAGAGGAACUUGUUCCUCGAGUCGUUGAUUUCACACUGCCGAGAAAAGCCUCUAGCUAGAAUAACGGUGCCCGUACCGCAAACCGACACAGGUAGUCAAGAUGAGAAUUCUAAGGUGAGCGAGCGAACUCUCGUUAAGGAACUCGGCAAAAUGACCCCGUAACUUCGGGAGAAGGGGUGCUCUUUGAGGUUCACGCUUCGAAGAGCCGCAGUGAAUAGGCCCAAGCGACUGUUUAUCAAAAACACAGGUCUCUGCUAAACCGUAAGGUGACGUAUAGGGGCUGACGCCUGCCCGGUGCUGGAAGGUUAAGAGGAGUGGUUAGCGCAAGCGAAGCUACGAAUCGAAGCCCCAGUAAACGGCGGCCGUAACUAUAACGGUCCUAAGGUAGCGAAAUUCCUUGUCGGGUAAGUUCCGACCCGCACGAAAGGCGUAACGAUUUGGGCACUGUCUCAACGAGAGACUCGGUGAAAUCAUAGUACCGGUGAAGAUGCCGGUUACCCGCGACAGGACGGAAAGACCCCGUGGAGCUUUACUGUAGCCUGAUAUUGAAAUUCGGUACAGUUUGUACAGGAUAGGUAGGAGCCUUAGAAGCGUGAGCGCUAGCUUACGUG